rnacentral:tRNA from 1 species
GUCCUGAUAGUAUAAAUAUUACGCUGGUCUUGUAAACCAGUAAUGAAAAAAAACCUAUUUUCUCAGGACA